rnacentral:sRNA from 1 species
UCUGCAACGGCUUCCUGACGCAGAGAUUACUUAACUGGAGCG